rnacentral:rRNA from 1 species
CACAAGCGGUGGAGCAUGUGGUUUAAUUUCGAUGAUACGCGAGAAACCUUACCAGGGCUUUGACAUAUACAGGAAUGUUGUAGAGAUACAGCAGCCGCUUGCGGUCUGUAUACAGGUGCUGCAUGGCUGUCGUCAGCUCGUGCUGUGAAGUGUUGGGUUAAGUCCCGCAACGAGCGCAACCCUAUCAUCUGUUGCCAGCAUUUAAGGUGGGGACUCAGAUGAGACUGCCGGUGACAAACCGGAGGAAGGUGGGGACGACGUCAAGUCAUCAUGGCCCUUAUGUCCUGGGCUACACACGUGCUACAAUGGCCGGUACAGAGUGAAGCGAAACCGCGAGGUGAAGCAAAACGCAGAAAGCCGGUCUCAGUACGGAUUGGAGUCUGAAACUCGACUUCAUGAAGUUGGAAUCGCUAGUAAUCGCGCAUCAGCAUGGCGCGGUGAAUACGUUCCCGGGCCUU